UGGGGAAUAUUGCACAAUGGAGGGAACUCUGAUGCAGCGACGCCGCGUGAACGAAGAAGGCUUUCGAGUCGUAAAGUUCUUUUAUAUGGGAAGAUAGUGACGGUACCAUAAGAAAAAGCCCCGGCUAACUACGUGCCAGCAGCCGCGGUAAUACGUAGGGGGCUAGCGUUGUCCGGAAUCACUGGGCGUAAAGGGUUCGCAGGCGGAAAUGCAAGUCAGGUGUAAAAGGCAGUAGCUCAACUACUGUAAGCAUUUGAAACUGCAUAUCUUGAGAAGAGUAGAGGUAAGUGGAAUUUUUAGUGUAGCGGUGAAAUGCGUAGAUAUUAAAAAGAAUACCGGUGGCGAAGGCGACUUACUGGGCUCAUUCUGACGCUGAGGAACGAAAGCGUGGGUAGCAAACAGG
rnacentral:rRNA from 1 species